GUGGCGAACGGGUGAGUAACACGUAGAUGACCUGCCCUGGAGUGGGGGAUAACCUAUGGAAACGGUGGCUAAUACCGCAUACAUCCAUAUAUCUGGGAAGAGAUGUGGGGAAAGCUCUGGUGCUCUGGGAGGGGUCUGCGUCCGAUUAGCUAGUUGGCGAGGUAAAGGCUCACCAAGGCGACGAUCGGUAGCUGGUCUGAUAGGACGAUCAGCCACACGGGAACUGAGACACGGUCCCGACUCCUACGGGGGGCAGCAGUGAGGAAUAUUGGGCAAUGGGCGAGAGCCUGACCCAGCAACGCCGCGUGGAGGAAGACGGCCUUCGGGUUGUAAACUCCUUUUGACAGGGAAGAGAGAGGACGGUACCUGUCGAAUAAGUCACGGCUAACUACGUGCCAGCAGCCGCGGUAAUACGUAGGUGACAAGCGUUAUCCGGAAUUACUGGGCGUAAAGCGCACGCAGGCGGCUGCUUAAGUCUGACGUGAAAUCUCCUGGCUUAACUGGGAGGGGUCGUUGGAAACUGGGUGGCUUGAGGUGGUGAGAGGGGUGCAGAAUUCUCGGUGUAGUGGU
rnacentral:rRNA from 1 species